rnacentral:rRNA from 1 species
ACGAACGCUGGCGGCACGCUUAACACAUGCAAGUCGAACGAGAGAAGAGAAGCUUGCUUUUCUGAUCUAGUGGCGGACGGGUGAGUAACACGUGAGCAAUCUGCCUUUCAGAGGGGGAUACCGAUUGGAAACGAUCGUUAAUACCGCAUAACAUAAUUGAACCGCAUGAUUUGAUUAUCAAAGAUUUAUCGCUGAAAGAUGAGCUCGCGUCUGAUUAGCUAGUUGGUAAGGUAACGGCUUACCAAGGCGACGAUCAGUAGCCGGACUGAGAGGUUGAUCGGCCACAUUGGGACUGAGACACGGCCCAGACUCCUACGGGAGGCAGCAGUGGGGAAUAUUGCACAAUGGAGGAAACUCUGAUGCAGCGAUGCCGCGUGAGGGAAGAAGGUUUUAGGAUUGUAAACCUCUGUCUUCAGGGACGAAAAAAGACGGUACCUGAGGAGGAAGCUCCGGCUAACUACGUGCCAGCAGCCGCGGUAAUACGUAGGGAGCGAGCGUUGUCCGGAAUUACUGGGUGUAAAGGGAGCGUAGGCGGGAUCGCAAGUCAGAUGUGAAAACUAUGGGCUUAACCCAUAAACUGCAUUUGAAACUGUGGUUCUUGAGUGAAGUAGAGGUAAGCGGAAUUCCUAGUGUAGCGGUGAAAUGCGUAGAUAUUAGGAGGAACAUCAGUGGCGAAGGCGGCUUACUGGGCUUUAACUGACGCUGAGGCUCGAAAGCGUGGGGAGCAAACAGGAUUAGAUACCCUGGUAGUCCACGCCGUAAACGAUGAUUACUAGGUGUGGGGGGACUGACCCCUUCCGUGCCGCAGCAAACGCAAUAAGUAAUCCACCUGGGGAGUACGACCGCAAGGUUGAAACUCAAAGGAAUUGACGGGGGCCCGCACAAGCAGUGGAGUAUGUGGAUUAAUUCGAAGCAACGCGAAGAACCUUACCAGGUCUUGACAUCGUAUGCAUAGCUCAGAGAUGAGUGAAAUCUCUUCGGAGACAUAUAGACAGGUGGUGCAUGGUUGUCGUCAGCUCGUGUCGUGAGAUGUUAGGUUAAGUCCUGCAACGAGCGCAACCCCUGUGAUUAGUUGCCAACAGGUUAAGCUGGGAACUCUAACCAGACUGCCGGUGAUAAAUCGGAGGAAGGUGGGGAUGACGUCAAAUCAUCAUGCCCCUUAUGACCUGGGCCUCACACGUACUACAAUGGCUGUCAACAGAGGGAAGCAAAGCCGCGAGGUGGAGCAAACCCCUAAAAGCAGUCUUAGUUCGGAUUGUAGGCUGCAACCCGCCUACAUGAAGUCGGAAUUGCUAGUAAUCGCAGAUCAGCAUGCUGCGGUGAAUACGUUCCCGGGCCUUGUACACACCGCCCGUCACGCCAUGGGAGUCGGUAACACCCGAAGCCUGUAGUCUAACCGCAAGGAGGACGCAGUCGAAGGUGGGAUUGAUGACUGGGGUG